UACGAAGGGGGCUAGCGUUGUUCGGAAUCACUGGGCGUAAAGGGCGCGUAGGCGGGGCUUUAAGUCAGGGGUGAAAUCCUGGAGCUCAACUCCAGAACUGCCUUUGAUACUGAAGAGCUUGAGUUCGGGAGAGGUGAGUGGAACUGCGAGUGUAGAGGUGAAAUUCGUAGAUAUUCGCAGGAACACCAGUGGCGAAGGCGGCUCACUGGCCCGAUACUGACGCUGAGGCACGAAAGCGUGGGGAGCAAACAGG
rnacentral:rRNA from 1 species